GGUGCUAUGGAUAGCUUCAAC
rnacentral:miRNA from 1 species